rfam:Brachypodium distachyon strain Bd21 chromosome 1, whole genome shotgun sequence.
CUUAUACUCCCUCCGUCCAACAAAAGAUGUCUCAAGUUUGUCAAAAUUUGGAUGUAUUUAGACAUGGCUCAGUGUAUAGAUGCAUUCAAAUUUAGUUAAAGUUGAGACAUCUUUUGUUGGACGGAGGGAGCAGUAC